UUUUGUGUUGGACUGUACCAUGUUAGGAGGGUAGACUCACAAGAGGAAUAAUUUUGUGUUGGACUGUAUCAUGUUAGGAGGGUAGACUCGCAAGAGGAAUGCGUUGGACUGUACCAUGUUAGGAGGGUAGACUCACAAGAGGAAUGUGUUGGACUGUAUCAUGUUAGGAAGGUAGACUUGCAAGAGGAAUAACUUUGUGUUGGACUGUAUCAUGUUAGGAGAGUAGACUCACAAGAGGAAUAACUUUGUGUUGGACUUUAUCACAUUUGGAGGGUAGAUCCUCCUUUUGAUCAUAAUCUUGAGUCAACUGUUAUACAUAUAGAAUAUAUAGUACCUAGUGCUGUCUGUUUGGUUAAUAUUGCUUUUUUUCCCCGUCAAAUUCCUGAUAUCUGAUUAGAUGGUAGGCCUAUACCAUAAACAUGAAACACUGCUAAAGGUUCUCUUGGAAUGUCAGAUAAAAUUUGAGCACACUUCUGUUUUGGGGAUUUUUAAUUAAAGUGUAUAAGGUUAUAUAUUCAUGUACUUCUCACAAAUUUUGGUCCACUGGUGGUAAAUUACAUUGUCUUUGACAGAGUCUUUGGACUGAUCUUUAAUUCUAUGUUACCUUGGACAGAGUCUGUGGACUGUUCUUUAACUUUCUGUUACCUUGGACAGAGUCUGUGGACUGUUCUUUAACUCUGUGUUAUACCUUUGACAGAUCUUUAAUUCUGUGUUACCUUUGACAGAUCUUUAAUUCCGUGUUACCUUUGACAGAUCUUUAAUUCCGUGUUACCUUUGACAGAAUUUGUGGACUGCUCUUUAAUUCUGUGUUACCUUUGACAGAAUUUGUGGACUGCUCUUUAAUUCUGUGUUACCUUGGACAGAAUUUGUGGACUGCUCUUAAUUCUGUGUUACCUUUGACAGAAUUUGUGGACUGCUCUUUAACUCUGUGGUACCUUGGACAGAAUUUGUGGACUGCUCUUUAACUCUGUGUUACCUUGCCUAAUGUAAUUAUUCUGCUAAGUAGAAUUGGAUUCUCUACAAAAGUAAUUUUGUACACUCCUGACCUUAUUGUACAAGUUUUCAAUGUAUUCUUUGUAAUAUCUUGUUCUAUUGUGUUUUUAUUUACACCUGUGUUGUGAAUUAUUUCUGUGUGUCUGCCGUCAGUGUUAGGUUACCUAGUAACUGUUACUGAGCUUGAUAGAUCAUUAUAAAUAUGUCGGUGUAAUAGAAAGAUUUGUUAGUACACGACAUUGCAUGGAAAUAGAAAUGUUAGAUACCGCUCUGUAGAAAAUAAAAACAGAUGUAAUCGUGCUAAUAUCAAUUUAAUUGUUAAAAAGAAUUGUGUCAAACAUUUUAAAAACCAUGAUUUACAACAAUUGAUGACAAAAAUAUUACAAAUAGCUGUGUUAUAAAGCAGUAAGAAGUGCAUGUACUGAAAAGUUUGAUAUGAAAGAGAAGUAGGUACUUUGAUUUUUUUAAUUGAUAUAACUAUUGAUAACUGGAGCUGUGUUGACAGUCCCUAACAUUUACAGGCAGAAGUUCUAUCAAUUCCUAUAGUGGUUUAGUCUGGCAUUAGUCCUGCAGCCACGUGGUCCGGCUAGCUGAAGAUUUGCACAAGGAACUAGUGUCAACCCGGAAGAACGUGGAGUAUCGGUUUAAGGCGUUUACUGGGGAUCUUAGUGUCGGUCACCGAAGGAUCCCAAAAAUCUAGUCUUAUUAACUGUGUAAACGCGUAGCUAAGACGGGUGAAUUUGGAGUGGACUUGAACGUAUUUGCAUUAGCUAUAGACUUAAUUGUUUUUGAUUUACACGACCAAUGUACGGUGAAAAGGUGCUAAUGGUUAUCGAUGCUGAAGUCAAAUUUACAUUCCAUUUACAAUCCAUACUUUAGAUGUGUCACAUGUAAUUUUUAUUCAGUACUUGAACCAUUUGAUUAUUGUUUGCUUUUCCUAUUUAUUUCAUUUAGUAAACUAUUUAGAAUGUUGAUAAGUAACAUCGUUUUUCUAUCACUGAAUGUUACUAUAUUUACACUGGUGUGUGGUUCCUACACAGUGUAUCUUCUUGCCAUAGACUUUAAGGAGGUUGAGUGGUGAUUAUGAAUCAAAAGUGUAUUCUAUAUUAGUGAAAUUAUGAGUGGAAAUGAUUAAAAUAACCAUAAGUCAGAUUCCUGAAAUCAAGACAUCGUAUUUCAAUGUACUUAAAACCAUACAACAUGCAAGCCUAUAUACAAUGUACAUGUAUAUAUACAAUGUAUAACAUCAAAAAAUCAAAAGCACAAGAAAAACAUAAUUCAUGUACAUGGAUAGUAUCAAUGACUAUUUUUUCAAAAUUAUUUUUAAACUGGCAUUUGUGCGCAUGCAUUAAAAGGCGAUUACGAGAGAGAGAGAAAAAAUGACGUUGGACUCUCUAACACACCAUUACAGUGUUGCACCCAACCGUCGUAGAUAUACAUGUAUCGUAUAUAUUUCUUACAUUGUCACAUUGUGUCUGCAUCCGUCCAUUAUAUGUAUCGUUAUGAAUGUUAAAUAAAGAUGUUAAAACACACUCA